UCAGCAACUUCUCUUCCACCAUGAUAUGACAAUAUCUUUCAACUUUUUUUUCAAAUUCCUGAAUGUCUAAAGUACUCUCAAUGCAUAUUAGCCAUCAACACGGUUGAGACUCAAACCGCACUGAGACAUUUCUGACUUUCCAGCUCCUACUUUAUACUGUUCCUCUCACUCGUGCAGAAACCUCAGCACUCAACACUGUGUCCACAAGAAAUCCUUACCGCAGGCACUGGGAGUUCAGGCCAUGGAAGAUUUGGAGGCUCACAGCAGGUUGCUUUGCUCUUUUUCCUUUCCUGUCCCUCUUUUCUACAUUCUCUUCCCUGAUCUCUCAAAGACCAUCUAAUCCCUCUCCUUGUCAUAAGCUUGUGAUUUUGGGAACUGCUGCUUUUGAGCAUGCCCUUGAGAGAACUCGCCUCUAGUCCCAAGCAGCUCAUCAAAGCAUAUUUCUAUCAAACUAAUGGAAUGCACCCCAAAGAAGAAUUCUGAUUACAUCUCCCCAUAUUAGUGUUACUAAACAGAUAGAUACAUCUACAAAAAGAGGGAAGAUGGCAAUAAUGGUAUUCCCCAAGGAGAUUAAGAAGUUUUUCAUGGGCCACAGUCAACAGAAGUUUCUGCAGCAGUUCUGCCACUUAGGCUGUAAGACUCAACAGAUCCACUGGUGAUAGAGGUCUCACAUCUGCUUCUGGUGAAGGGCUCAGGCUGCUUCCACUCAUGGUGAUAAAGGAAGCAAGAGAGGGAGAAAGGAGAUAUCCACAAGAGGCAUAUUCUGCAAGAUGGUGUCUUCCACAAGAUGGCGUCUUCCACAAGAUGGCACCUGGAUGGAGAGGAAACCUUACCUGUCCUCUUUGUAGGGAGGAAAAAGGCAGGUCACCUCCAGUGGAAGUUUAGACAUCUGAGAGACUUAUGGAUCACACUAUGGCUCAAUUGUGCACACACAAAAAAUGUAUGUCACCUCAGAGUCUAACUCCUAGAAGCAGGCACUACUGAGAACAUUCCACAGAACUGGAAACAAUGACGGUCCUUAAAUUACCUUAAUGAUGCAUUUAAUCAUCUGGAGGAAUGCCAACUUACAUUGCUACAUUUCUAUGUCCACCAUCCCAUCAGGGACUUUUCUAUAUUUUGGGACAGCAUUGAAGAUGGUUUCCAGUAUCCAGAUGGAUAGGCUGACCAUGCAUGCAAAUUUUCUUGUCCUCAGGAAAAAAAACUUCAAAGGGUGGACAACUGCUAAAUACCGGUCAAGGGCAAUGCAGAAAAGACACACACAGAGAUCCGAUGUUGGCUGGAACACUGACUAUAAUCACGAAGAUGUAAACAAUUGGAAAUAAAUAAUGAUCCAGG